GCUUCGCUCCAAGAGAGAGAUGUUUUUGUCCUGCUGAGAGGCAACAACCGACGGCUCGGCCUCAGCAUCGACGACGAGGCGACGAGGCGACCAGCCGACCAGACGACGACAACCUUCUCUCCUUCCGUUCUUCAUCAAUUUUCUGAAACUUUUCUCCUGGCAAAUCUGGUUAAGUCGUUGACCGACUUCUCUUCGACGCUCUACUGCUAUUAUUAUUCGUUUUUUUUUUGCCUUUUUUUCUUACUCGUUUCGGUGUCGUCCAACAUUUUUAACGAACGACUCCGAGACAAAGAUCGAGUACCUGUUGGACGACCGUCAAAGUUAAGUCCGGUUUUUAAAUUAUGUACCCAGUCGAAAGGACGACUCGGGUCAACUUUCUGAAACAAUGCUCGUCUGACCUCCUGUUGCGUUAACCCUAGGCAACAGUCUCGCGAGAAAUAUUUGUACAAAAAUGUUCUCAUCUUCGCGAACGACCCUUGCUCGACGAACUUCGUGUCGUUUGAGUGCCAGUUUGGCAAAGAAUCUUCGUAAAAUGAUGCGGGAGAAAAGUUUUUCAGCUACGAGGUGAAAAUUUAUCAACGAUCUGGAAAAGUCUUAAAUCUAGCUACGUUUUAAGCCAGCGAAAAUCUGUUGAACACGUCUGUUUCGUAACUCGAUUUAAAGAACACCACCGCAUGCUGAAUAACGAAACAGGCAGCGUUUUUCCGAAUUUCCGGUCCAGCAUCUGAACUUACGUGACCUUAUUUCGUGAAAGCUCCUGCACGCAAUACUCAAAAAGUUUUUCGCGUCUUUCAUCGUCUGACUUGGUCGACGUUAUUCUCCAUUUGUCCAGCCGUUUGUUCGUGUCUCGCAUUGCUUGCUAGAGAACAGCUCUUAGUGGCCAUUUCCUAGAUUAAGGUCAGCUGGAAAGCAAAUAGUUGUUAGGGACUAGAGAAAGAGAAAUUCCCUCUCUGUCCGUCGUCGACUGAACUUCCUGUGUAUUACAGUGUGUAUACGUUUCUGGAAAACUAUUUGCGCGCGAAACACCCGUCGCGUUUCAGAAAUACCGGAGAGAUACGAGCUGCUGAUGGCGAGAGAGAAUUGUUCCGACUUCUCCUUCAUUUUCACCUAAACCUCCUUGUUUCACAUCCACCGAGAAACCUUCGAAACGAACCUUCUCAGUUGUUGUCAGAGUUACGUGUUUAAUGCCUGCUAGUUUGUCUUUCAUUUCUGUCUGGCGAAAAGUUAACCCACGUCUAAUCGCUAUUUUAUUUAAAGCUUUUCCUCUCUCGUCCACGUCUUCCGUUCUUUCAUAAACGAACCACCCUAGAAAUAAAAGUGGGAAGCGAUUUGCUUCUCCAGUUGCAGAAAGGGUCGUCGCCAAAAGUUCUCAACCCCUUCGCCACCGAAGGUAUUACAAUUUUCUUUCCACCCGAAAAUGUCAGCGCCACUUCUUUCAAUUGCAGGCUGCGGUUAGCGUAUUACAGCCACGGCCGCAAGAAGUGGCACACUCGAGAUUUUAUUUUCGUGCGGGGCUCGCCAGAACGGGUCGAAAACGACCGCACUAUCGUGUAACCCUUUAAACUCGGGGAUAGCAGUUUCGCUCGCCCAUUGACCCAGAUCCAAGGCUGGAAUUUCACCGAGCCACGAAAGAUACUCGCCGGUGCAAGACCUCGACCUGCAACCCUUUUCAAAUUAAGGUCACCAGAAGGCUGGUUGCGUUUUACUUUUUUAUCCCCUAUAUUCACCCUCGGGUUGGUCCGUUUCGACGAGACAUCGAUUAGUUUCUCGGUUCGAUAUCGAAAGGAAAAGUUACUUUGGAGUAGAAGGGAUGAAUUGAUCGCUGUGAUCGUAGGGCAAAUAAGAUUAUCUGAUGGAAUUUUAAUGGUGAGCUCGCGUGGCCUCCGUGACGAGCAACCCUCUACUGCUCAAAGCGAUCGUAAAGAGCGCUGUUCUGUCGCUUAAUGCCCGAGUAAAUUCGACCGCUUGCAACCCCCCCGUCGCAUGGGGGUUGUUUGCGCGUGCCUACGUAGCCGACGUAGUCGACGUGUGACGUCGGCUAAUCUACAACUCCACGAAUUUACGCCCUUUGAGUUAACCAUGCUAUGGGUGUCUCAUUGUAUUUUCAGUGACAAUUUUUUUUUUUUUUUUUUAACAAAUAUUAUUUUGAAAUUCAUCGCAUUAACGUCUGCUACUAUGUACGAGUCGGAUAGAAUUUUGUUUUCAAAGGCACGGAAUACCUUGAGAAGGUUUUCGUUUUAUGCAACCAGUCUCCUCGACAUCCACUCGCGUCGCGUCUCUCAAAUUGGGUUGACAGUCCCGUUCGCAUGUGAAAACGGUCGAGUAGCCAACAAAGAGAGCCGUCUUGUUGCUCUCGUUCGAAAAAGACAGCGCCAACGUCUUCGAGGCGCCAUUGCGACGGGAACAAGAAGAAAAUUUGGAAGUGCAUCGGGCAGACUGGGCGCCUAAUUAAGAUGGGGUCAACGAACCUCGCGAUCCGCGACGAGCGAAAUCCUUUACCAUCUUUACUUAUCUGUUAUUCAACCUGUACCAUUUUUCUAUGUUGCGCUAUUUUUUUCAUCGACAGCAACAGUUUCGCUAAAACAGUAUAGCAUUAGCAAUUUAUCGGACCGAGUUGUCACUCCAGCUGUUCGGAUAAUCCGUAUCUCGCUAUACCGCAAUUUAAACUUUAGACGUGAACUUUAUUCAUUACCUCCCAUUUAACCGUAAUUCGCGACAAUGUACGAGCGAGUCUCGGUUUCAAACUUUCUCCCGCAAGAUUGCAUUACUUCACUCCGUUUCCUUCUUUUUUUUUUAUCGGCGCAACGAUGAAGUAUCUUCCGACAAUAAUGAUAAUAACUAUCAUAAUAGUAAUUUACGCUUUCAUUUUUCUUCUUCUAAUUAUAUUCAGUUGUAAGAAAUGUACGGUCGUCGAAGUGUCAAACCGCAAACUCGCGACGCGAAAGGCGGCGCAACGAAACGAGCCAGACCCUGGCCAAUUACCAUCCUCGUUUACGCCUGUACACGCUUUAAUACCAACGAAACUAUUAUAAUCGUAACGCAACGUGGAAAGAGUAAACCUACGGAGAGGACAGGACGACGCGACUGGUCCAGUCAAAAGUGGCUUCGUUUCGAAAGGAUUCGUAAUUAAGCGGAAUACGGGGAGAGAGAAGGCUUGUCCGCGCUUUGAUCUCGCUUCGCGACUUGGAAAACACACGCUGUCGGAAGAUCGCGUUUGUCACAGUAAUUCAUACUCGCCUUUAUUGUCGUUUCGCCAUUUAAAACCGUGUUUGCCUGUUUAUUAAGUUGACAAAAUAUUUGAAUCAUAAAUGGCUCGAACGUUCAAGCGGGUGAUACAGUUUUACAUCGCUUCUUCAUUUUUUCAAAUAGUACUUAAUGUUUAAGUAAGGCACGAUACAAACAUCGUUAAAGCGAUUAAAAGAAAAAGAGGAGGAAGCAACAAGUUUGAAAUUUAACAGCGACAAAGUCAGAAACGUAGUCGAGAAUUGAAGAAAGAGAAAAGGAUAAAGAGGAGGGAGUAAAGUGUCGCGAAAAGCGAACGUUCGCGACAUUUCUCAAAGCGUGCGACCUCUGCCUGCUCGCCUGUUCGCCUGCUGCUCUUUUUCCGCCCGUUUCGUCCCGACUUCUUGUCUCGAGCUUCUCCUCCUGUUUUCUUCCCGGCCAGAACUUGUGCUGGCACGGUGCUGUUCGUUGCAAGUGGCCGUCAGAUAAAACUCGCCCAACUGAAGUCCCCGGACGCUCUCGCGUGAACUUUGCGCGUUCUGCGAGCGAUAAGAGUAAGGACGUCGUGAAAAUUCCGAGCCUUCGAGGCGACACGAACGCGCUUCCUCUCCCUUUAUGUUUUACUUUCAGCCUGAUAAAUUGUUUACUCAUCCGGGCGAACUUUCAAAGAGACCCGCUUCGCCCUCCUUGUCCCUUAGCGAUCUCAUAAUGACUGGUUCUGCCUCUUUUCCCUUUUAUUUUUUAUUCCUUCCACUCUUUGGGGGGACGAGCUUUACUUGCUUGAGAAACUCAGUCGCAGUUUAGGUGAAAAAAGUACAAAUUUACCGCGAAAGUUUCAGUCGCGUGGUGCCUUCAAGGAAAUCCUCGAACAAAAUUCGACCAAUUCGGUCUAGUUUAUCAAAUUCAUGACGCAAUUACCGACACGUAAAUUCAGUGGAAACAAACAAAUUUUCAAGCAUUAUUCGUUAGUUACGGAAGUGAAAGAGGAAAUUUACGACUGGUAGAGAAUAGAAAUGGUCGGUCGGUAGCGGAGCGAUCGCGACGGGAACGAAAUAUUGAACGGGCUGAAACGGAAUUAAUAUUUCAUAGGUAGAAAAACAAUAACGCAGCGGCCAGCACGGUGAGCCCCCGGACGGGUCGAGAGCAGAUUUAAUUCCUUAAAAGCUAGUGCAUUUCGAGAUCCAGCUUUUACCCGGCACGUUGGGCAUCCAUUUGCUUUACGCGGGCACGCGAGAGAUAACGAGAGCUAGUCGCGCAUCUCGCGGCAUAAAUUUUUCUCUAAUCAAAAUUUGUCGGCGGGAAGGAAAAUUUCAACGACGUGACAGAGGGUUAAAAAAAAUUUAAUCUUUAGAGUUCAUAGAAUAGAAAGUAAACAUAAAUUGUUAGGCGAUCAAGAGUAUCGUCGAGUCGAUUUCUCACGCAUUUUUCACGCAGGCCGAUCCUUGGUGCUGUUAAAAAUGGUCAGAUCCAUCUUUCCCCAGCUACGAGCAUAAAUAAUAAGCGCGAUCAUUUACCUGGCUGCCGACCGAAUCGUUAUUAAUGGAUUUUCGGUAAAAGCAACGCUCUUUUUAUAUCACCAUCGCAUAAAUCGUUUUAUCCCCGAUAUGACGCUAUAAAUAAUUUCGUGUCUGCGUUUUUUCCACCGUCUGGUACAUUCACCAGAGCACCCUCUCGUUUAACGUACUUCCAACUUCUUUCUCGUCCAGGAACUCCUGCUUUUUUUAAACCUUUCUACCGUAUGAUUUUCUUGUCAAUUCAGCCCGUUUCAGCUAACUAGUCGAUUUUUCAUUUCGGAAAGAUGGAAUAAAAUAUUCGCGCGUGACUAUAGAAAAGGUGUCUGGAGGUAUAAAAUCGAGGGGAAAAGGAGAGUGGUUGGUUGGGUAAAGUGGCAAAGUUUCUCUCGACAAAUCCAUCUGUACCCGGGACCCGUGUCUCGCUCGCGACAGACAAAAUGUCGUAUGAAUAACGGAGAGAACGGGCGAUCGAAAAUUCCGUGGAACUCUCGAAACGACUGAGAAACGUUAGGGAGAAAAACGACACGUUGCAAAGUUUUCUUCACGGUUCUGACGAUCGCGAUACGAAAAGCUGGCUGUUGAAGAGAAAUUGGAGAUAAAGGGAACGGGAACGCGUGUGAACAUUGAUGUACGAGAAGUAGAGAAAGGAAAGAGGGACAUAUUUAGUUUUAUUUAUGGUGAGCAUAAAACGUCGGACGUGUAUGAAUUAUUAAGCUGUAUUUAGGGGGUAUACCUACUCAGAUGGGCUGAAAUGUGGAUCAGGAAUAUAACUGAUGAACGAAAUGUUAUCCUGUGGACCGUAUACAGGUAAAUGUAACAAAAGAUCGGAUAACAAAAAAAUAGAAAAAAAAUAGCCCGUGAAUUCGUGCAUUUCGAUUAGUAGCGGUAAUCGAUGCUACCUGUUUCGCGAACACGAGCAACACAUCACGAUCAAAUUAAAUGCAAACAAUUGCUCGCCGCUACGCGAGCGUCGAUGGAAGAGCCAGUUGAAAAAAAAAAAACAAAAAAAAAAGGAAAUCGGGCUGCUUCAUGAAUAUUCCACGGGACUCGGUCGCUCUCUCAUCCUCUGCCAUUUUUCAAACGAUCGAGGCAAAGUACUUUGGUACGUUGCCAGAAGUGAAAGAGCCCAAACUACACGCCUAUUCUCCAAAGACAUACCUGAUUCCUCGCUUAUUAUCGGUUCGUUAGUCUCAUCUGUUAUCAGCGAAUGGAACGGAAAGAUGAUUUAAGAGAUAAGAAAGGAACUCGUCGUUUUGCGGCUGAUUACUCGAGGCGUUUACUUUUCUAAGUAGUAAGACUCGACGCUAAAGCAGACGGUUGUUUUAUCUCGGCUUCUGAAACACGUGCCAGCAGACCUUGAUCGCGAAUCAUUCGGUAUCGAACGCGACAGAUUCAGUGAUUAUUAUUGUUAUACAAUUUAUAUCUGACAGGUUGACCGGACGACGAGUUUUUAAUUUGCCUUUCCGAUUUCGCAAGGAUCGCGGACGGGCCAGGGGUCGCGUCGACGUAUUUUUAUUUUUGUUUCCCUCAACCCUCUCGGGUCACUCUUCGCCGUACUUUUUUAUUUUCCUUCUCUGCACGGCCAUUUAGCGAGGAAAUUUGUCGGACGGUGAAAUAUCUCUUUUGUUCUCCGCUGCGACAGCCGGCUCUCGAUUAUUUCGCCAUCGUCCCGGCAGCGAUGCUCGCACCACGAAAAUCUCUCUGAUCCGUUCCACGCUUCUAUCCUCUUUUCUUUUAUUUUUCUAUUUUUUUUUUCUUUUUUGUUUUUUUGCAAACACGCGCGCGCGAAAUCUUCUCGCUCCCUAACCGUUGUUUCGAGAGCAGGACCGGGAAUUCAGUCGCGCCUCUGCAGCGUAUUUUUCCGCCGGAAGGAUCGACUUUCCAAUUAACCUCCCCGUCUCGCCAAUAUAAUAUUCAUUUUUUCGCUUAACACCCACUGCUUUCGAUUAUCUUGUCUUUCGCGAAAGAAUUUUUCAGUGAAAUAUUUCUAGCCAUUUUCUGGCUACGUUAGCGAAAUGAUAAAAUUAGAGCAUUCGGAUGGGCUGCAACGAUCGAUUUAUCUGGAAAUCUGCAAGGGAUAGUAUCGAACACUCAUCAUUAUCCACGUUAUUCCGCGCGGUUCGGUUCAAUCUAAAUUCGCAUUAUUGCCGAGAAGCUAAACACGAUACAUUCUGCGAUCCAACACCUAAUACGGGUAAUUCCGGUUUAUUAGGCCGAACCGCAUUAGGUUUCCGGCUUAUUAGCUCGGAACCGAGCACCUUCGUGUCCAUCGUUCGCAAACAAGUGCCUCUUUCUCUCUCCCUCUGGACGAUCGUUCAUCGAUUCCGCUUCCGCGACCUCGUUGGCCCGGUUUACUUCAUUUUAUUCCACCGUUCCACCUUCCCGACUAGUUCGAAACGAUGCCACGUUUCGUUCGCCACACUGCCAGAGAAAGUUCCUUUUGAAACCGAGACAAAUCGGAUUCCACGACGGGACACCGGUAGUUGGCCAAGUUUCCAACGUCUGGCAAACACGCUUUCCUCUUCUUACUCUCUUUAGACCACGCGAUGUAUUCGCCAUUAGGCGCGAAAUCUCCCACCUCGACACCUUUAAUCUCUUGCUAUCCUCUAUCUCCUAGCUUCUCUUUAAUAAAUUUCAUUGAAAUAUAUUAAAAUGCCGAGUAAUAAUUUCAUCGUGGAUCGAAGAGGGGCGGGAAGGAUUUUGAAUUUUCCGUAGAAGGCGCAACGAGUCGUGUUGGAGCCUCUUUGAUCGUAGAAACGGAGACGACAUCCAUUCUUCUUUCAACAGAGCAGAACGAUUUAGGCCCUCGAGCGUUCCCGAAAUUCCACAAGGAAUUGCUCCUCCCUCCUUCCUCCUUCUGCCUCGUUUCGUCUCGGUAACUCAUAACGAAAUGACGGAGUGACUCGUCACCGACGUUGCUCCCCUUUCCUCCUGAAUUUUCAUUUCUCUUUUUUCGCUUCUCCCGAGAACUUGUUAACGCGUUCACUUCCAGCCUGACGUACGCUUUCGAAAAACUUCCCGUGUUAUAUUUAAAAAGCAAUUCCAAUAUAAAAUUCAAUUGACCUAAAUGAUUGGUAUACAACACAGGAAUAUUGAAACGUGGAAUACAUUUCUUUAAAUAUUCCAACGUUUUCGAUUCUCCAUUCGACAAAAAUUUAUUGGUUUUUCGCUUUUCGACGUUUCCGCUAAAGAAACGAGCGACCGAAAUUCUUCAGGUUGUCGGCGUUUUCAUUCACCGGGAAAUUGAGCAAUAUUUUUUCCCGCUAAAAGCUACGCUGUCUGGCGUAAUCGACAAAUUGCAGCGAACAGCAUAGUCCAACCGACUGUGAAGCGAGCAACGCGAUUUCGAGUUCCUUAAGAGUGUUGGCGAGCGGUUGUAACAAAUUUGCUCGACUAAAUUGCUUCCAGGAAGCGAAAGCUGCACCACUGCUUUCAUACCCGUAGGAUUAAUGUUCUUCUGCUGUUUAAGAGACGGUUAAAUGUAUGUAUAUUUACCGACUAGGCACAUUCGUUUAUACUUCAACAAUUUCCGGGAAUAUUAAUUUGAUUAGUACUUGCUCAUUACCUCGGCUCAGAUUUCCUACAAUUAAGUUUAUAUUUCGCUUAAGUUCAAUUCGGUACGCGCUCCAUCGUGUCGUAUAUGCUUGACUGUUACUACUGCGCCGGUCGAUCGAUUAGAUUCUUACGCGUUUGUGGCUCGUGGUAUUCCCUUAAGGCAGAAUUUUAAUUAGUUAAGAGGAAGCAUUCUUUAAUAAACACGAAAACGAAACGAAUCUAAUAUAAUCACAUUUUGUCUCAUAAUUAAAAACAGUAGUUUUUAAAUCUCCCUUCAAGCUGCCAGCGUGAAAUAACGCAAUGCACAUUUUCUGAGCUUCUUUUUCACUUUAAUAAGUCAAAGUACAACUGAAACAUCGUACUCGUUGUUUCGCAAUUACUGUGAAACGUAAAACCGCAUACGCGCAUAGAGAUUUCUUUGCUACGUUGCUGGGUUUUAAAUCGAUCCACGAGAUCUUCCCAGCUUCUGUGUUUAUGCAAAUGUCGGGCGCGCGUAAUUCGAUGUUAGAACGUAGAGAUAUAUUUAACCGUCAUCGGGUGUUCCACGAUGCUAGGGAACGACCCUCCCUCGAAAUAAAGACAGUAACGCAGGAUUAAUUUUGUUUUCCUAGCAGCCUGUUAGCCGACACUAAAUUUACCGAUCGUUCGUCGCCGGAUUCGAACGCGUUUCGUUGGACACCUAAUAUUUCUCGAGCUGACAACGAUAACCGGCGACCAUCUUGUACACCAUUUCCUUUUCUUCUUUUUCUCAACGUCCCGAGACACGCAACGCAUCGUUCAAGAUUUGCCACACUCCGGCAUUUUCGCUCUUUUAUUCCACGUUGGAAUAACACGAAAACGCCUCGAGUAAAACCGUGCAACGACUCCUCCGGUUUAUUUUAGAUUUUCGUUCGUCGCCUCCUCUUCAUUCUCUUUUUCCAUCUGUCCGCUUCUCUUACAUCCUUUAUCUCUUUCGCACUUGCCACGAUUUUCUCACUGCCUCUGACAAACGCUCGGGGCAGAUUUUAUAUAAACAAAGAUCAUUUUGAUGGGAGAAAUUUUGUAUGUUCAAUUUCGUGGACUUGAUUAGAUAAAUUUAAAGUGUAACAAUCAAGGAGAUGUUCGUAUCGAAAUAAUCAGAGGCAAGGACAACAGGAUUUUAUGGUAGUUUGACAGGCUUUAUACCGGGUAAUUCAAAGUUCUGGAGAUUUUACGCGAAAGCUAGUCCCAGCUCGUGCAUGUUAUAAUAGAGCGAGCUAUGAAGAGCAGUAAAUUCCGAGUGAACGGGAGACAUUAGCCGGGAAAUUAAGAUCCUGAUGGCGUCUGGACGAAUAAAAUCGUCCAUUCGGAGUAGGAGAGACGGAAUGGUCGAACGUUUCCUCCGGUCAACAGGGAGUUAACUUCUCGUUUUUCGAUGUGUUUGACGACAGAGACGCCUUGUCGUCGUCGUCGUUGUCAUAUCUCGGUCUUUGUGUUUGUACUAACCGACGCUGUUCUUCUCUUUCCUAUUUUCGGCGGCUAAAAACAAUACGAUCCGGCGUUGUCAGACGUCCAGAGUCGUUUCAAAUUCCCAGACACGUGUUGUUUAUUUUAUAGCUGGUUAAAGCAACGAACGGGUGAAUGAAUUUAUAAUUGAUUGAAUUAUCGCUCUUUAUACGCCAGGAAUUAACACGUUAAUCAUCCGUGGUGACAAGACAGAGAUAGGAACGAAAUUCCUUCGAUCCAUCUUUGUUUCUUUGCUGAUGAUUCUCAUUUAUGGGGACGAUAAAGUUGCCACGUUACGCAAGAAGCUGGAUUUCAGCUCGAAGCCUUAGCUUAGCCCGAAGAUUGCUCUAAUCCGUUGAUUUACGAGCCGCUGGUUGUGUUACAUUCUUUCCUCCCGAGCCUAAUAAUCGAAGUGGUUUCCGCCUACAAUUAAACGAAUCCCUCCGAUUUCUUUUCGGUAAGAUUUAUCGAGUUGGCACACAGUGCGCGUAUAAAGGGAUACUGCUCUUAAUAGGCAUCUAUUUAUUUAAGCAAUUUCACGAGGUUAUAUUUGAUGAAAUUUACAAUCCGACAGUGUUCCUUAAGGUGUAACUUGCACGCUAUAGAGCGACAACAAGAUUAUCUUAUAUUCUCUUCUGAAUGAACAAUUACCAGGGAACAAGGUCGCAGGAGAAUUGAAAGAUUCAGCGAAAGGGCUGGAACGUGGUGUGAAAAUCACAAGACGUAGCGGGUUAUCGAGAGCCUAUUUGGAAAUUCGAACACGACCAGUGAAUAUUUCAAUCGAGUGUCGAAUAUAUCCUUCGCUACGAUUUACCGUGCGAUCCGUGUACGCGUUCCUAAAGGAAUUUAAAAAAUUCACUCGACGUCCUACUGUAGGUGGCUCGUCCCUUUUCCAGCUGCCCUCUCGACCGAGUCUCGAGUAUCGAUUCGGCGAGAGAAUGAACGCUUUAAUUAGCCUGUUACGUGAUCGACGACGAGGAACACGCGAAUUUAACUUUCAUGCCUGCUAGAAAUCUGCCUCUCUUAAUUUUCAAACGCUCCUUUCCUUCACCCUUGCGAUAUAAACGUGAGAAUUGUCGAGGAAUUAAAAAUAAUGCAUCUUCAGAGGCGCAUCGUACGGUACUGUUUUCCACGGUGGUCCACGCACGAAGCCACGAACUGGCUGAAAAGACAUACGACUUGGCUCGUGGUAGAGCAUACGGGCGUUCGCGCCUCUUCCAGUCACUAUUAUUAGUCCUAAUAGACCAUAUGUCAGGAGAAGGAGGUCGUCGUUGCCCUCUUGUUCGCAACCGAACGAGCCAGAAACAACGACAAUUUCGACUCUAAUAAAUCGUGAUCCUUUGUGAAACACCGACGAAACUUUACCAAAGAUCUUAAUAUACUUGAAAAAAAUUUCACUCGAGAAGCAUCAGAAGAGUGGAAUAACAAUAUUCGAUGGGUUCAUGAAUUUUUGAUAGUAUACAACAACAGAUUUCCAUCGAGGGAACACGGUAAGGUAGUUGGUUAAGGAUCCCGUGUCGCGUUAACGUCGAUCGAGGUUUCUCAGCGUGUCCCUAACUCCAUUAAAGCGUCUCUCGGUGUUCUUUGAAAGUGCUUUGCAUAAAGUAGAAGCCAUUGCCGUAAUGAUGAUCGACGUUACGCCGCGUCCCCGGCCGAUUUCGCGAAGUUAUAUUUGAUUUAAUUAGCGGAUAUGAAGGUUAUAAAUCGUGGAAACGAGAAACGUCAAGCUUAAUAAGUGGUCGUGUUAAGUAAGUGAACCGGCAUUAUUCAACUGUCUUUCUUACAAUUAGAUCCGGUGACGGCCAACAAUGUCCGGAAAUAUUUGGAAAAUUCUUCAAGGAAACUCUGCCCUAACGAACUUGAUAUUCAAAUGAAAUGAAAUGAAAUGAUAAAGAAUACAUCCGAUAUGUUGUCACCCCUGUAGCGGCGGUGAUUCGUCAUCGAAACGCUUCUUGAGCCGACGAUAAUUCGAAAUCGUCGUUCGUUCCGCGUCGCGACGCUUAAGCGUAUCGGUGGAACGCGGCAUCCGGCAUUAUCGUUGCAUGAUUUACGCGGCUCCGUUUCACCGUUCGCUCGGAAAUUUAAUGCUAGAGCUGAGAGAGGAAGAGAGAGAAGGCGAGAAAUGGAAGCGCGUACGCGGGAAAACGGCCACGAGCGUUCACGGAAUCGCGAGCCGAAUACUGAUGCAUCACGCACACGCUGAAUAUAUCCUAUGGUCCUAUACUACCGAUUACGCGCAAUCCUGCGCUCCCUGAACGCUCGUACGUUUCGCACGCGGUGUUCGUUGCAUCCUGAUACUCGUUUGUUCGAGAAUUGUCGCUUGUAAACGAGUCGCCAACAACGCAAUUGUAUUUGUUUCAAUCGAACCGGUCAGGAUUUGUACUAUGCAACGGUGGAUAGAAAUUUCACGCUUUUCAACCACGUAUCCAUCUUAGCUCGAACUAUGUUUUUGUAACGCCUUAUACGUAGGUUGUAUCGCGACGAUGAGAUUCUUGAAGCGUUCAUUCUAUUACGGGAAGUUUGAGAGGCGCUUUAUGGUUUCUCGUUAAUGAUGUUUACUUCUUCCAAACAUCAGAAUCCCCAGACGUUGCCCUCUUACCAUGUAAGAGGGAUGGAAGUUGAAAAGUUUGCUAAAUAUAACUUUACUAGCGAGUUAUACGAGAGAGCAGCGGUAGCUUUCGUCCAACAGACAGCUUUCCUUCAAUUCAGUCGCUCAGCCUGCACGCGGAUUUCCUCUCCUUCCCUUUUAUCGCCUUUAAACUUCGAAUGGCCGCUUUUAAACGCAGUCACAUCUGGUUAACUCGUGACAGUGAGAAGUCGGCAGUUAUUUCGAACCGCUGACAAGGUAUAAUCAGCGAGAAGUUGCACCAUUUUCAAACAGUUUGCGUGUAUACACCUUAAUGGUGGUUAACGAACGAUAGCGACUCGAAGGAUCUACAUAAUUAGGAAACUAAAGUUGCCGUAUUGUCCAGCUUGAAAAGCUUUCGUGUAAUCCUUGCUCAGCAAGAGUGUCAUAAAUCGAAUCUGUUUCUCCCUGCAUCGGAGAAUGCAACCAGACGGUGGAUAUGUAAAUGAAAAGAGGGUGAGAAAUAAGGUAGGGUGGUGUCGUUGAGUUUCGUAACGAUAGAUUUCGCCCUUCGUUCUUCUAUCCCCGCUUGCUUCGGUUAAACGGGUAACCGCGGCGCGGCGCAUCCAGGAUUACAUCGUGUAAGAGGGUGGCUGGGAAACCCUCGUGAAAGCUCGACGGGUGAUAAAUAAUCAGAUUAAUGAAAAAUAUUUCCUCGCCGCAACGACGAACCAGGCGACCCUCCUGCAAAGUCCCUUCCAACCUUACACCUGAUCCUUGCAGAACAUUCGCUUUUCCUUCGCCAAUCAUACUAAAAUCGUGGAGUGGCCGCAGGGCUUCUUCGGUUUCGCUGAAAUUUCAGUAAGCCCAACCUUGGACAGUUUCGCUCGAUCCGCUGUUCAAUAUUUCAGAGCAAUUAGACGGUGAUACAGAUCCGACCUGGCGUGAAUUAUUAAGCAAAAGUCUCGAGUGAAACUAAACCGUGGCUCGAACGAGCGGAUCAUCCAUUACUUAACGUCCGUUAACGCGUUUCGCCUGUAAAACGCACCACCGGUAAGCACCCACCCAUUUGCCACCCUUAAUCGAAGGUACACGAUUCGGGUUCUGUGUUUGGACCUCCGUAUUAGCCGAUUACCCCCUCUGACAAGGGUUCGAUCCUAUCUACGAGGUAAACAAGACUAGAGCUCCGCGUUUCGGUGUUGCUUACCGAAAAUGUUAUUAUUGCGUCUUGAUUGCAACAUCGGAUCGUUAUUACAAUAGAAGAUAUCGCGCAAGAUUGCGCGAGUGAAUUUUCUCUGGACUAGCAAGGAAGCCAAGGUAACGAGCUAAACGAGAAUUUAAUCUAGAAAUUCAAAAUUACCAUGGCUGUGGAUGUCAGAUUUCUCUGAUUCCUCGAGAGCUAACUGAGAACAGUCUGACUUGAAGUUACGAAAUUAUCGAAGCUGGUUCGUCGAGAAUUUCGUUAAAAUUAGUUUCUUCGGUGUCAAUUAGAAAGUUCCCUUCAAAAUGAUAUCCUGGCUAACAGGCAGUUUAUAUUAGCAGGCGAAUUGCGAUGAGACGCGGUUGAAGGAAGAAUAUUUCACUCCGUACCAACGAUUUAUCCUGAAAAUGGAUUUUCUCUCCGUUAAAAAUAUUUUGAUCUCACCAAAUUCUUGGUCCAUCGAUCGAUAGCGAAGGAAGAUGUGUCUUCGUGACGACGGUGAAUGAAAAUAUACACACCAGAGACCGAAAGUCAGGAAAUUUCUUUUUUCUUACAAGGUUUCUUCGGAGAUAACAGGACAGUAUGGCCGCAUUAGUCCUCGUGAUCUAUCACUUAGCGAGCUACCCUCGAGACUCGAAGGUAGGGACAGUUUUCGCGUGUGCCCUCUUUGCCUGUCGGUGAACACGUCCUUCGAAAAUCCUUGCAACUUUUUAAUUCUAUCUCGGUUGACCCUCGUUGAUCAUUCUGUCAGCUGUAUCGAAAUCAGUUCUCCGUGAAAAACUUUCAUCCUGAAACGGAAGAUUUUUCCCUUGUUCGUGUUUCUGACGAGGAUCGAAUCGAUUUGAUCGACGCGUGUACCCUUAACGCGAUUCAAGGUAAAUACCUCAAACGUCGACUGGAAAAUUUAUUAUUUUUUACAAACAUCGAUGGGAAAUGGAAAGAAUAGGUAAAAAAUUUGUCAGAUUGAAAGAAAAGACGGGAGAACCGAUCGAGGCAGCAGCGAGUCCCUGUUUCAUCCCCCCGGGACUUUCACAAUCGGGACAUUUUUCUCCGUUCCUCCCUGUUUCUUCUCGUCAAUGACGCAAACUGAUGUAUGGCUCGUGAUUGGAGUGAGUGAACAUACACGAAGGGAAUUCUCGUAUCCCUCGAGGGGGAGGCUCUGGUCGCCGCGACAUCCCGUGGGAAAAACUGCGCAGCUUUCCCUCCGCAUCGGGAAAACCUGUACACGGUCUGUUGUCGAAUUCGGACGCGCCUACUCGUUAAUUGAAUUCUAUCAAUUCUUUCUUCCAUCCCUGUAACGCUACAACUUUCGCCCCUGCGACUGAUGGAUAAUCAAUUUCCUUCUCUUCUAUUCUCUCCUUUCGAAAUAUGGAAAUAUCAUAUGCAUCGGUCUAGCGUCAACGAUGCGGAAUGAUUCGACUUUAAAAAUUAUUGGAUACGUACAACAUCGCAAGAUUCGAAGUAAUUGCCCUUGUUGGUCGUAUCUGUUGAGCCAAGUAUCCCUUCGCAGCCCCGAUGUUCCCUUAUUUACAGUUACGCAAGCAGAGGGUGCAAUCGAAACCAGUAAUAACCUCGUUAACGUCCAGCUCGAGUUGCCAUUUCUUUCGUCCCUUUUCACUUGUCGACUCUCGUCGCGAUUCCCAAGAGGUUUAUGGAGAACUUCGAGGCUGGUUAACGUUCGAUGAAAUUGAUAUAUCGUCGAAGGGAAGGGGCUGCUUGAGUGCCUCUUUACACUCGUUGCUUCGAAAGUGCUACACCAUUUUUUUUAUCGAUUACAUUGUCUAACGAAUUUCAUAAUUUUAUAUGUAUAUCAUUUAAAAUAUUAAGCCGCGUUUUACCGCAACAAAAAACAAACGCAAAGCAUAUUCGAAAGCUGUUAUUGGAAAGCAAGCCGUUGGACUAACGACGGGUACACAAUGGGCUGGGAUGGCGCAAAUAAUUUUGAAGGCUCUUGAAUAAACAGAAAUAAAUGCGCGAUAGAUUAAGGGCCAUAGUGAACGGCGUGCAAUUUGAUCGAAUGGAUAAAUGCCGUUCCGAAAAUGAACGACUUCAUUUGUUUGGCCGUACUUACGAGCCGUUCCUCGUGCACUCACACCUACACCUACAUUGAUUUCAUCGUAGAUGAGCGUGUGUCGUGCCAAGCGUAGAGUGGUGCACGCUCGGCCCGGCUUAACGAGCUUCCAGAUAAAACACCGAAAACGUCGUCGGGAUUAAUUAAAUAAUUAAAACGGGUAAUUAUCUCGACUCGACCAUCUGCCUACGUGGGCCGACGGGCAAAGUGGAAUCGUUAGGCUGGCGAACGCUCGAACCUGUGUACCCUAGUUUUAGAGGGUAACACGAGAUCGGCCGUGCUCGUUAUUUCAAUGAAAUUCUUUUUACAUGGUUAUUCGAGUGAUAAAUUGUCGUAUCCGUGGCCGAGGGAUAUUUUUCAAUCGUUACGCAAACAAUGCGCGUAGAAAAUAUUUUCUACGUGGUUUCGAAACAAAAAUUCCACGAAAUUUUCCGCUAAUUGUAAGGGAUCGAUAUCUUUCUUUUGGUUCGCUGCAUCCUCUACCAAUGAAAUAUGAAACUUUUACAGAGAACCUAAAGGGGAAACAAAAUGGCGACAGGGAAGUUUGACGUUGGUACGCGAACAGGCUUCGUAAAAUCAGUGGCGAAUAACGUAGCUACGCGGCAGCAUAGCGGAGUAAUUAAUUGAACAUUAAUAAAGUCGCGUAGCGAAGGCCGAAGGUCGGCCGAAAUUUAAUAGAGGGCCGGAUAUUACUUGAGCUCUCUGGCAAAAGGGAAACGGUUCUUUUCCCGUGAACGAAAUCAACGUCACUUCCUGCCUCGAUGUUUAUUAGAUGGCAUAGCGAAAGAAAAGCACGCGAACGUUAAUGAGUCAAUUAACCGAUGGUUGAUUGGCGAAUCAAAAGGAUACGUCGUUACGAAGAAACGUCGCGUCGGUCUAUCAAACUCUUUUCUUCAUUAACAAAAUUAGGGAUCUGAUUUGUUUAAAAUUUGUAAGCAGCUGGUGUCUGUUUAGAGGCGCAUAAUUUGCUAUAAUACGAGUCUAGAGAUAAAGGGUGAAAAUUUGGCACGGUGGAGAAGCAAAUGAAAUUCAGCUGUGGCGAAUGGAAAACAAUCGUGGAAGUGGAACACAGGUAAUCCAAGGCUCGAAAUUGAUAUUACGCUCUCUCAUCGAGAUAACGUUCGAGCUCAUUAAGGGAGAAAAAUACGCGGUUGUUAAUGACUUUAUCGGGAGGAAGGGAGGGGUGGGUAAGCGUGGUUUCCGGCAGCCACUAAGACGCCGCAUCGGAAGAUUUAAUCGCUGGGUAUUUAGCCGUUUCUCUCCCUCGAAAAGAAAGAAAAAACGAAAAAGGCCAAGAUUAAUGGCCUCUGCGCGAGAAGCUGCAACGCGAAUUUACAUCGCGACGCGUUCUUUAAGAAAAUUGCUACCCCUUAUUCCGUGGAAUAUUCUUUCAGCAAAGAUUUCCGCUGAGGAGUGUACUUUAUGGAUUUAAUUUAUCGGCUUUAUUUUCAUUUCGUAUCUUUAUGUAUCCGUUUUUGAAACACGCUUUGAAAUAGCUCGUUCGCACCAUUUAUAUACGCGAACGAUGCAAACUUUUGCCUACGAUAUUAGCUCUGUGAACUGUUACGAACUCCCAUCUUUCGUUUGGUAUAACAGAAAUUACAACGUCGAGGAAACGAAGCAAAACUAACAGGGAAAAUAUUUCAAUCGUGUUGCAUCGCGUCACGUUCUCCCUCGAGAAACGAAAGGAGGGGCUGGCAAUAUUACGAGACGUUCUAAUUAAUUACGAAGCUAUGGAAAACGACGUUACCAUCGCGGUAGCGAGAUCUGUCCGGGAACUUUGUGGAGAAAAAAUAUUUUCCAAUGAGUGAGAACGAUGAAAGCGUUCGCGUUCUCUCGAACGUUUAUCCAAUUUUAGCAGAAGUUUCGCAAACGGAGAAAAUUAACGGAGAAAAUUAACGGGGAAAAAAGACGCGGAACGAAGAGGAAUGGGUGAUAAUUCGCGGCUAGCCAGGUUGAUUCGCGAUUACGCGAAGCAAUAACGUUUCCUUAACGCGACGAAAUUUGCCCUGGGAAAUUCUGCUACUUUGGACCAGCGGAAGGGCCAAUAAUUGCAAUUCCCGCUUCUUCUCUUUUUUUUCCAUCCUCGUCCGCUCCUUUCUCCUCGCAAUAUUCGUGACUUUUGCAGUUUUUGACCGUGCAAUAUUCCCGGGAUCGAGCUUAAUUCGCGAACACCACGAUGUUCCGCAAUUAAUUACAAGCUACGGCCUGUCGCGUUUUUCCAACCUGAAGCGGAGAUUAAUCGAAAAGAGAUCCGAAAUCAUGACGCUCCGAAUGUGUUGGACAAAUAUUUGCUUUUUAAUUUGACAUCGGUUUUGCGAACGAACGUUGACGAAUUUUCCAGAGUUUCUCUAUGGAUAUAUACAGGGCAUCUCGCGAAGAUUAAAAUCCGAUUUAUGUACCUUGAAUACAUCGUAAAUUCAUCUGGUUGGAAGAAGAAAUUUCAUUGGAAGGCUAUUUUUCGGCUGCUAUAGGUCUGGUUGAUAGUACUCGAAAGGAUGGAGGAUAGAAACCGAUACCCCGCAAUUAAUUACGAGUUGGCAAGUACCGAUCGAUCCGGCAAUAUUCGUUCGGCGAAUGUUGCUUCUGGUCUUUCGUGUCGAUUCGACCGGUCAAGUACCUAAGUACACACACCGGCAUCGAAAGCGAUUUAAAGCGGAACGAUCCCACAAAUUUCCGUUCGCUCUCCUCUUGCUAGAACGAGCUUUUGCUCCUGAUCCUUCUGUCGACUGCUCUUCACUCUCCAAAAAAUUUCUGUCAAUUUUUUUUCUCUUCUACGUUUCAUUCAAACAUUUAAUCGAUUGUGUUUUUCAUUCAACGCUCCGUUUAACACUAUCCUCGAAGAGAAAAGAAAAGCAGUCAUGCAUGGUUGAGAAUUUAAAGGCUAGGCGAAAACGUCAGUGGAAUUUCUUUCGGUAAAGUAUCGCGCUCCUUUGCGUUUUAAAUCGAAUAAUAAAUAAUAAACACGUAGCCGGGAGUAGGAAACGCGCCAAGUGGGCUCGGGGUCAUUAUUCUCCGGCCUCGCAUUCCCAGUGACACGAAUUUACACAUUUUGCACAUUGUAUCCACUUUUCUCCGCGCGUGUCACGGAAAUAUAAACCGUUGCAGUAAAUUCACGGACGAAUGCGGCAGACGGUAGUUCUGUGUUAAACUACCUUUCGAGAAACCAUGAAAUUUCACCGAUUUCGAUGAAAUUAUUCCAAGGAUAUUUGAUCGUUCGUACCCGUAAGUAACAUCGAAUUUCGACGUUUUUUUAAUUAUUUUAAACGGCGUACAACGUUCAGGUAAGAACGUGGAUUACGGAACUUUUAAUCUUGAUGAAUAUUGUGUACGAAACCGCGACUGGAAAGUUUCCGAUAAACUCGAUAGGACGAUUAUGCCACCACGGCUAUGGAUUUGCGAAGCUCCAAGAAUGCACGCGAAUAAUGAACGCUAUCGGUUAAGUCGUUCCUAUCCGUAAACUUGCUCUUAUUCCAGUCUUAUGAGAUUAUAACAGAUUUACGGCUGACUUUGCGUCUUAAUCGUCAGUCAGAUUUUAAUAAGAACCUAUUAACACGUUUACCGCGGUCGAUGUUCGAUGUAAUCGAAUAAUUGAAAAACAAGUUUAACGUGAAAACGCGAGCAACGUUAGAUGCGAGAAAUGAAUAAAAUUCCGUCGAAAUUCAGCUGAACGUUUCGCUGCUGCUUCUGAAAUCGAAUCAAUCACUUAAGUCGUCUGGUCGUCGGUAGGAAACUAUCCAAUUACCGGAACGUUGGUUUUCUCGAAGAAACACAAUUUUCUCUGUUGAAGAGCAGAGCGAUGCACUCGUAUGACGGCACGAUCGCCGGAGGCGGUAGAAUUUAAUUAUCAUUUCACACUGAAAGACUGCUUCAGUCGGCGGGUGUACACGAAUGUGUUUUAUUCCCUCGUGACGGCCCGAAUCAAGUGUAAUUACCAGCCUCGUGACCAUGAUUAAUUUGUACGCGUUUUAAUAAUUCGUUGCCUCCUACGCUUUAUUCCAGUCAAGCAAUUAGCGGCGAAAAUGAAUUCGUUAUUAAUUGGAUGUUAACUUGAUAUCGCGACGAAUAUCGAGUACUCGAUACGCUGCGCUGCGCUCGAUAUCGUUUAUUAACGAGAUCUGGUGCAAAACUUUGCAAACUUGUCGUCGACUUGACAUUUUUUCCCUUUAUAAUCAUUCCCAAGGUACCGAUCCGUUUUUCCAACUUGGCAAAUUUGGAGAACUGGAAAUCGCCAUGGGUGAUCGAUAAUUAAUCGAAGGCGCAUUGUUAUUCGCGCGGGAAAGAAAAGGUGAAAAAGUAUCGUAAUUAGCGAUACUCGGCCGGCGCUAUUAUCAGCGAGCAGAGACACAUUAAACGAAACGAGAAUAUUAAUCGAGGCGAAUGAAGAGCAUUCGUGAUUCCGGGUUUUCUUCUUCGAAACCGAAAGAACAACUCGCUCGAACGAUUUCUCUCGAGCAGCCUCCAGAGAUACGGGUUAUUCUACUGGGAUUAAUUUUCAACCUCCUGAAAUUGCAUUGUUUCGCUCGUUUGAAAAACCGUUCGUUUAUACUAGUGCGCCCUCGAACUCUCGCGAAUCUCUUGAAAUUUUCGAGCGGUUCGUGAAUUGAAUAGCUGCGAACGUGCGCUGCAAAUUAAGUUUCUCUUGCGCUUAAUUUGUGGUUCGUUAACGAAGUGAACGAUGACCCGGUUCGUGAAAAUUUUCUCUCGAAGCAUAAAAGAAGACGAAAAUUAAGUAUAUAAAUUUGAACGAGCGAAUAAGAGAAACAUAAGAUCGUAUAUCAAAAAAUUUUGAAGGAUCUUUCGCCAGAAGCAAACCUCUUUCUCUCGCAACGUAUCGAAAACUUUCACGACUUUCCGAGUUUCGAAAGAAAAGAAAGUACUUUCUCGGAGUCGACGAUUCGUCGGUGUGAAAUUCGAUCGGUAUGGGACUAUGAACGAUAACCCGCUGUCAAAAUGUCAAAGAACUGGUUGCAAGGACCGUCGGAGUUCCGGUCGAACGGGAUGGGAAGUCGAGGGGAAUCGAGGAGCAGUUUCGAGGAUGAAUCCAAGUCGGUGAGGCUCGUGCGUUCGCAUAAAUCGCAAAGUUUACUCGGUACUGUGCGUCGUUCCCAGUGAUUCAUAUCCAUUUGGCGAGACGAGUCAUAUUUCGAAAACGAAACAGUCCAUUUCCAGCCUCGAGAUCCGUCGACGCGUGAGUUCACCCAGCGAAGCACCCACACGACCACCCGGAACCGCAGAAAUGACGAAACACGAAUUCGCUCUUGGCUAGCAUACGAAUAACCGGGAAGUGACUGCGGUUUCCGGGCUGCGGGGAUUAAUAGCACGCCGGAAGGAAACUAUUUUUUUUUUCUUUUUUCCUUUAUUCGUGCGGUGAAAAAUUGCCAGUACCAUUUUCGCUCUUAACGCAUCGACAAUAGACGUAACCAUGCUUAAUACUGCACUCGAUAAUAUAGGUUACACAGUUCAAUUAUCGUUUACGCUACAUGUUACUUACCAUUCAUUUCUUAUAUUUUAUUUAACGUUAUCCAUAUUUUCCAUUUAAAUACAGUUUUUUAAAUUUAUUAUUCUUACCAUCAACACUUUGGCCAUUCAGCAUUCAGUAUUGACAGACGUUUUUUCAUGAUGGUUCUUUUUUUUUUUUUGUUGGCACAAAUUUCGGACGCAUUUUUCUGGAAAUUUCACCCGGACAGAAAAGCAUUCGUUUCGGGAAUCGAAACAACCGAUUCGCAUUUUUCGCAUUUUUUCGCAUUUGUCGAGGCGACAAAACGUAAAUUUGUUCGCGCCGUGGAAAAAUAACUGUAACGGUAGCUGCCAGCUAGAAAUCGUUGGGAGUACCUGUUGCAAAAAUGAAAAUUGUUUUUUAUACAUCUCGGUGAUGUUCAACGUACCUUGUAUCGUCGCUGCUUUUCAAGCACCAGGAAAUCUAUGUUUUUAAUUUAUUUCCAUCAUUUUGUUGGGACCAAAGAUAAAUCUAGGCCACGAAACGAUUUAUCGUUCCAAAAUAAAAUGGGCAAACAAUUUCUACCUCAAUGAAAAAUGGAAAAUAAAAAAAGAAAUGGUACACCUUUGUUUAUUAAUUGAUUUUAAUUCUAUUCAGAGAAACAUAAAUGAAAACUAUGACUUUGUAAAAAAAAAAAAAAAAAUAAUAAAUAAAUAAAUCACCUUUCUCGUUGCUUUCGACGCGCAGUAAAAUGCGAAUAACAACGAAAGUGGCUGCAAUUUCGAACAACGGGACUGAAGGGUGUGCCAAAAGGGCGCUACAGACUGCCAACAGGGUUAGAGUUCUGUUCUCUGACCAGAGAUCAGUUCCGCUAGUUUACGAGUUUCUCCUCUCGAAGUGGUGAGGUUAAAGAGGAAAUGUCAGGGGAUGAGUGACACGCGGAAAGGGGUAAACGUGGGGCUGUCUCUCGAAGAGAAACAUAAAAGAGCAAACGAAGGGUCAAGUAAACGAACAGAAAUCAAAUGAACAAUGAACAAUGAAUUACUUAAUUUCUUUAUUUCCAUGGACAGGAUAUAUAAAACGUUUCACCUUGUACUUGUCGUAACGCGUGAAGCAAAAAUGUGGCUUCUACAUAUAAAAUGAAAUUUCAAUCGGAUCUUUUUCUCCUUUCCUUUUCGUCCGAUGCUCUUUUUUCACCGCCAGUGAACGAGCCACUGCUCCUUUAUGGAUUCGCGGGGACACGUAUCGCGAGUACUCUCUAAAUGCUCGUCCAAUGCUAUUUAAUUACCCUUUCGUGCUGGUUUGGCGUGAAGUGGAUGCUUCGAGCCUUCUAACGAAUUUAAAUGCCGUUUCGACGCGCUUUUCGCGCCGAUCUCAAUGAUCCCUUCACCAUUCCGCUUCGAGCACUUUCUUUACUCGCGUUUACAUCUUUUUCCUCUUGUUAAACGACACGCGAGAGAAAAGAAGAAAGUUUUUCAAAUAGCUUUGCACUCGAACGAUCGAGAGGAAAUUAGUUUAUAACGUCGAGUGCAAAUGAAGACACGGCAUGGUCUGUAUUGGCACCGCAACCAUUGCUAUUACGAUGUUUAAUCUGAACCCGUAAAAAUAAAUUUCGACGCUGGACGCGCCACGGUUUGUAUGACCGCGUUAAACGGGUUAUCGUUUCGCGUAAUUUUCCAAAUAUUUGCUCAUCGAUCACGCGGGGAGCACAGACUGUACGCGUCAAUUAACAUUUCCGUUCGUCUCCCGUUCCAUACGCCGCGCCGCUCCGCGCCGCGUGGCUAAAAACCUGUCUGAACCUCAUUUUCCAAAUGGAACUAUUUCACGGCUUCAUUUUGACUGGAACGAGGGUAGUAGGUGGAGGAAAGGGAUGGGAAAUGAUAGGAUGAAUCGUUGGCAGAAAGAAGGAGGAUGAAGAAGGAGCGACGUGGCGGAGGGUUUGAAAAAUGAAUGGUUCGUAUUCAGGAUGGAACGACCAAAAAUUCGGGACCAUUGAAUAUAUACGCCAUACUCUGAAUUAAGUACGUUGAACGUUCAGCUGGUUGCCAGGUUUGCGAAUAUUUCCCUGGAAAAAGGAAGACGUAUCCUUUCGAACGUUUCGUUCCUCUUCCGCGUAAUUAGCACCGGUAUCGCGCUGCUUUGGAUCAUUUCAAGCGUUUUAAAACGGUGUCGAGUAAUUAAUCAACUUCCGCGAGUUUCUGUUCUGGCUGAACAUUUUUACGAUUCUCGUUGGAAAUAAUAUUUGUGCAAUAUUCGACGUUAAUCUAAAUUAAUCGCGGUGUUUCCUCCGAUUCCUUCGAAUUGAAAAGCCGUACAAAAGCGACAAAGUUUCCUGGAAAUUCAUAGUACCAUGGUUUUCCGAGCAAACGAAUUUCCAAGCGGAAUCGUCUGGCAAACGCGGAGCAGCCGGGCUUUUUUCCCGCGGCAGGUUCGUGGAGGUUGGAAAAAAAAUCAUAAUCGCGCGAAAUUUUUCGCGGUGGCAGACUUACGGGGGCGACGAGGAGAGGGUAUGGGGGUAAGCGUCGCGACGCCGGGAGCCGUGCAAAUAUUUGCGGAACCCCGGGAAUCGCGUUUGCCGAAAGUUCGUUAGAGCCGGGCAGAAGGUGGAUUUUCGAAGCGUAAUUGCGAGAACAAUAACGCGGCUGGUGCGUCCGCGAAAUGAGCACGGGUCUCGUUGUUUCUCUACCUCGCAGCGUCCCGACGCUUACUGAAUAGCUGUUGAAUUUUUGGUGAACAUCGUUCCGCGCUGCGUCGUGGCUUCGUUUUUACCUUCUGUCUUUGCUGUUGCAAAAAAACGGAAUGGAAGGUAAAGGGAAUAAAAAAUUUACUCUUACGAUUUUUAAACAUAUUUUCGUGUAUAUCAAUUUUUCUCACGAUACAAGCGAAGAAAACGAAAAAUGUACCCACUCAUUAAAUGGAACCGCAAAGGUCGGUGUAUCGAGUUUCGAUUACCAGCACCUAUUCUAGUUUCGAUUUUCAAUUUCAUCCUAUCGAAUAGCAAUCAAUCUAUCGAUUGUACUCGCAGCACGGACUUGUUACAUCGAACGUUCGUGUUUUCUAGCUAAUCAGAAACAAGCAGCGGUAGACGCGUAUCGAUCGAUCGCGUGUAUCGAACCGAUCGAGCCGGUGCGCACGAAAUUGCUCUGCAAACAUCUUCCCGCGUCUCGCAUGCAAAUGUUCCUCCUCCUCUUCGCAUUUCUAACCCCUUCGAGCUUCCAUCCUACCGAACAGUCCGUUCCCGUUUCAGCUUUCUCUAGCAAAAACGCUUUGCCUCUCGAUCCUUGAACAAACGAAACCAAACCAGGUAACGUAGCAUCGAGAUUCGAAUCGAGACGUUUCGCUUUUUUUUCCCCAAGUCAGUUCGCUUUUAAUUCUUUUCGCUUCUUUAGCUUUGCUAAUAAAAAAAAGCAAGUCCGCGGUUACUUCGAUGGUAAGAAAGUAGAACAACUUUUUACGCGUUUCCAGAUGUUUACUUGUUUCUUGAGUCUAGAGUAAUUGAACAUUUUGGUGCAAGUUCGACGUUGUCUAAUUGAUUUAGCUCGCGGUGUUUUCCUCGCCCGCGAGUGGUUUUUAACUUAAUAAAGGAUGCCUUUGAUGCUGUGCAUUAUCGUAGAAUUUCGUUAUGUCCCGGUGCGGAUGGUGUUACGCACGGAAGACGAUGAACUUGACACACUUUAUACGAUGCUCGGUGUUGUUCUAGAGUAUCUGAAAAUUUGUCGACAAGUUUUUCGUCGCUAAUUAAGAGGAUAAUCGGAGGUGGAAGCGAGCAACGGGAUCGUUGUUAUACCGAAGGAAACAUAGUUUCCGCUCACACGGAGACUCGAUCGCGUAACGAGCAAUUCCCGAUCAGGAGGGUUGCGCUCGAGGCGAUGUCUAUUCACCCGCUACCUCUUCUCUCCUUCACUCUCGACGAUGCGUUCGAUCCUCACUCGUCCACAAGAUCACUCUCGUCCGUCGGCUAUACAAAUUGGCCGAGCUCUGCGUCUCGUACCUUAUUAGCUGACGAUAUGCGAACCGCCCUUUAUUUACCCUUCCUCCCUUUCGAGAAACAAUGCCGGCGCACUCGGUGCGGUGCGGUGCGGUGCGUUUCGUGAUCGAUAGACGCGCACAGAUCGUCGCUGGACAAAAGUCGCCUUGACGCGUGCUCGAAGCGAACGGAACCUGUUAUCUCGACUGUCGUCCGGAGAAGCUUUUCCAGCAGAUCUGCUGGAAAAAAAAAACAAAAAAGGGCGCGACGACGAGUGGGUUGCGAGCAAAGAGAGCGAGAACGAAGGGGUGGCCGAUGGCGAGGCCAGCUGGGACUUAAUUAGUCAAAGCUCUUGCCAGCUUACUUGCGAGUGGCUCAUUAGGGCCGAUGUCGCGUCCCCGUAAUUGGAACGCGCUUCGCGACUAAUUAUGCGAGCGAGGUGUACGACGCCCACGGUGAAAUAAAGAUUUUCGUUUCGAACUCGCUCGCCUUCUAUGGAAUUUAGAAAUACAUCCGUCAGUUGUUCCAUUUUCCUUUUCCACCCUCUGGCUCUUUUUCUUUUCUUUCGUCGUUGUUUCGUUCCGUUGCAGAGGAGAAGUCGAUACACGAACUUACGUAAUUAGCUUUCCUUGCGGGGAUUGCCGUUUAAUUCGACGUCCUGAGAGAAACCGAAACGGAGAAACACGAAUUGGAGCUUGCCGAGGAAAAGAGAUUCGACGCGUUUCAUUUUCUUCCGGUAUUCUGUAACGACUCAAUGUAGAUUUACAUUUUCUUUUUUUUUUCAUGUCUUCUAAAACUGCAGCUUUAAGGUGUAGCAAUUUGUCAUCCGCGUAAACCCUUGGAUAUUGACCUUCAACGUCGACUGGCCAGCCUCGUCAUCGAGUUCUUUAAGCCCGUUUUCACGGCCCGUAAAAUUGCCUAUCGACACCGGUAUCCAACGUUAUCCCUGCUGGCGGCCUUUAAUUAUUCCCAAACGGUUGCCUCGUAUUUCAUCGAGCGUCGAAGGUUGCCUCGUGGCUCUUUCGUCCGGAAUCGUAGUUUGCCCUUCGCAAAAAUCCAUCGACCCGUGCAAUUUUCCACGGUAAAGGUCAGCCCAGCUGCUCUCUAAGCUUCAUUUUCUACCACAUUUCUUGUAAACUUUUGUAAGACGUUGUAUAACAAUAGAAGGGAGAAAAAGCGUAAUCUAGAUCGAAAUGGAAUGGAAUAUAUUCAAAGGGUAUCCUUCGCGUGUAUUAAGAAAAGUUGUGUUUCCGCUUGAAUACCAGGCAAUGAGCUGUUAGAAAAUGAAAGAAGGAUGCGAAAAUCAGGACGGUUUAUCGCGGACUGGUAAAGAAAGGUAAAGAAGAAAGUAAUGGAACGGCGCGGCGCCAGAUAUCGUUGUCCAAUAUCGCGGAACGAUGUUCGCGCGAUUCCUCGCGGAAUUUAAAGCCCCGCAAAACGGCACGACUCGAAAACUUGGGGAAAGACAUCGUAACUCAUAAACGCCGUUCCCGUGUUUUACCGCCUACCCAGCUGGCAAGCAAAAUAAAAACGACCAGCUAGUAUUCUUUAUUUCGUGCCCACUAUUCCGUGAAAUAUUUAAGGUUCUCGUAAAAGGGAUACACAGGAGAAAUAGCUGGUGCAAUAACGAAGACGAGUGCUACUUGAAGCAUCCAAUUUAUUUCCUAAACUGUUUACAACCUUCUGUUUAAAUGUUCCAACAUUUUUGCUCACUUAAUAUACACUGUGUUUCAACAAUUUUUAAUUAACUCGAAAAGCUCGAUAUCUUCAGUUUCUUCUGCUUUUUUAUUCAAAUACUUGAAAGAUAUAUUUUCAAGGGUGCUUUGCCCGAUUUAUCGCCAACACCGCAAAUCACUCUGGAUCACCUGCUGCGUUCACCCCAUGAAAUAUCCUCCGUAUCGACCUCCAUCCCCAUACGCCUUCGUUCUCCCUUGUCUUUUCUUUUUUUUUUUUUUUUUUUUUCACAAAAUACGUCGUUCCAACGUCUUUCGUGAGAUCCUUCCAUCCAAAAUGCCGGUACACCGAAAGCUUCGGAUUACCGUUAACGAAACAAUACAAGGGUUACCAACAGCGGCAGACAGUCUCCUCGUCCCUUUGUCCGAAUCCCGAAAAGCUCGUCCUCCUCUUCCUUGUUCCAUCAGCUUCCCCCCGUUUAUCCCGCUUCUGCUAUCGACUGGUUUGUAAUAAAAUACCGUACGAGCCCUUCCACGGAUUAUAUUGCCCUUUCGCGAACCCCUCCGACGGGAUAUCUGGAUUCUUCGAAGGAUUCGAAGAACCUUGACGAGCGGCAUCGAGUUCGAGGGUGUGCAGGUAUUCGGGAUCGAAUAGGCAGUUACCAAGGAUUAAUCGGUUAAUUAUCGAACCCUUAAGCAAGCCUUUUCGAAGCCUUUACACGAUUGUUUUACCAAUUGGGUUACGCGUUUUCUUCGAAAUCAAACGCUUCCGAAGGAAAAGGAUUCUGAAGGAUUUCGAAAUCGAAUGCGAACCGGUAAUUCGACGUUAACGUUCGUCUAAUUAUUAUCGUUGCUGCUAUUACGGGAAUACCAUUACGGCAGCGUAAUUAUUAAUACGCUGGUAGAGCGGUCAACGUUUUGCCGGUUAAAUUGGACGUUUCGUAAUUCUGUUUCCGUUAUCAUAAUUAUUAUUAUUGUAGUUGCGAAUGUUUCGCGGAGGUUGAACGCGUGUUACAACCACGAUACGAAGCGACGAGCCUGUAUAAUCAGACGUUUUCAGAGCCGCAAAUCGUGACAAUAAUUAUAAUCGGUCGCUUCGACGACACGUGCCUCCUCUUGACGAACGAUUGACAUAAUACUUGUCCAUUUUUUUUUCUGAAAUACCGUAUAAAGCUUGAUUCAUGUUAAAUUCCUGUUUGAAAAGUGCAAGAAGAGCGAGCAUCAAGUCCGAGAGAAAUAUGAAAGACUGCAACGACGAAGGCGAACGCUCUGAGAGAUGCAAAUUCGAAUGCCUGGACCGGAACGAGCGAGUAUCCAGGCCGAUUGUUCGCAUCUCGAGGCGUUCCAUUUUCCUGGGUUAGCUCGUGUUCGAGGCAACGCGAGUCGCAUUUUCAUCGGCUCCUCUCCGAAGCUGUUCCUCCUGUCGCGUUUCUCAAAUACACCGGCUUCUACGAAUAAUGCCCUCCUGUGUUCGACUACUCGUUUGUAAGAAUUUUAAAUUUUAUAGAAUUAUAUCAUCUGGAUUUUAAGCUAGUUUGCUUGCCCGCCAGAAGUCUCAGGCGGAUUUAUCGGCGAAUGCGAUAUACGGUCGCUUAAACGCGCCGCCAACUUUCGCCCGUUCUCUCUUUACGCGACGUGACAGUGCUUUAAUAAAUAUCGUCGUAAGAACGCGGCAAGAGACCGGGGUAUACAAAGACAAAGAGGAGAAGUAGAGGAAGAAUAGAAAUGCACGGCUGGAAAAGGGGGUUGGAAGAGGAGAGGGCGCUUCAGGGGAUGAGAUAAAUUGAAAGAGCUCUCGAAGUUGUCAACCUCCACUGCUGGUCACCCUCUACCGCCCUCAUCUCACUCUUUAUUUCUCCUUUUCUCCUCUUUUUUUUCUUUUCUUCUUUCUCUCCUCUGUAUAAACACAGCCGCGUUGACGUUGCUCCACUGAUUUUAUCCGACUGAAAGAAGAAAAAAGAAAGGUAAAAUGUAGACAGGUAAAGGAGAUAGUAGUUCUUGUAACUGUUUAAUAAUUGUUGUAAAUUAUCGAGAUGCACUCGAUAGUGGUGAUUUGAAAAAAUAUGACGAUUAAAGUUGGCUUUAAACGGGUUUCAAAGCCAGGAGCCAUCGCACGCGUCGAGGUUCGCGCGUUCGGUUAUUUAUUUAUUUAUUCAGUACGCUUCGAACGCUCGUCGCUUCAUGAAUACAAUAUUAGACGCUUUUGCGGCUGCGGUUCCGUGCAAUCCACGGGAAACUUCUCUUCUUCCUGUCGGACUUGGUGUAUACGAAGAGGAGGAGGAGGAGAAUAAGAGGGAGACGGGAGCUGGUGCACCUGUUUGUAUCAAGUUCGAGGUAGUGCCGCUUAUAAUCCAGUCUCUUUCGAGGAGGCGACCUCGAGAGUCUUAAAUCGCGUUUCCUUCAAAGAAUCCUGCAACUUUGCGAUAGAAGCGAGACUGUUCUUCCCGAAUAUUGGAAAUGAAAUAAAGAAAGGGCAUUAGAAAUAAAAUGGUUGUGUACGUUUACCUUGCCCCUAGGGUGAAGCUUGUAUCGAGAAACGUAAAUCCAGCGACGAGACGUUAAGUAAAAGGUAAAAUAUAGCCAGCGAUAUAUUUACGGGAACGUAGAGGGUGGCAGAUUAAAGCCAGGUGGUGGAGUAUAAUCAAUAGGUUCGAAUUGUCUGGCGUGACAGGGUCGCGAUAUCGGAAACCUGUCAAGUUUCGUUACUCGUAUCUUCGACUGUACCAAUUUCUCUCUUCCUUUUAUGUAAUCUUUUGUAUUUUCUUAUCUAUAAUACAAUAGGAUAGCAUAAAAUUCGCGACGGUACGAGUAAACCGAAAAUAUGUAUAGAAUAAAAGGUAAGAAUUUAUCGAUGAUUUGAAAAGUCGCGUUAUUUUCCGCAUCACGCGACGGCUCGGCGCGAGACGUCCGCUUUUGUAAGCGUAAAGUCAGCUUUUCGAGAUAUUCGCAACAGUUGACGGCGAAGAAGCGCGAAGAAUCGUUUGGGUAAAGAAAAGAAGCGUCGGAACCGGGCCGCUUCCAUCCUGUUUCCGGCCGUGCCGACGCGGAAACGCAAUUUUCUCCUGCCUGCCUGCCUACCUUUCCACCUUCCCUCCACUUUCUCGUUAUACUUCAUUCUGAAACUCUAUGAAUUCUCCAGUGUCUUCCAUGGGUUUUAUGGUGAUUUCGAACUGGAAAGCCGCAAAUCUGCCAGUAAUUUUGAUGAAUGAAUAACGAACGAACGAGUUUGUAAUCGCGGCGUCGUUUCGCUUUUCUCCCAAGCAUCCUCCAAAUUUACAUUCUCUAUUUUCUUUUUUCAAUUACUUGGUAAUUAUAACAAACUUGCGGUACCAAUCUCAUAGUAAUCAAUCUGUUAAACGUCGAAUAUUCUAAACGAAGGAAAAAUCGAGCUGAAAAGUGUGCCGUCUGCAAAGGGUUAAUUAAUUUCCUGAUCGUCCAGAGAGCCGGUACGACUGUAAAGGAGGUUCUCGAUAAAAGUUGAACGGAACGAGAGAAUUGCGAUCAACUAGCGGACAACUAUGAGGGUGGAAAGGAUUUCAGUAUGCCGUUAAACUAUCCUCGAGGGCAGAUGACGCAAGAAGAAUUUUCAUUAUGCCGCACCAAAUACAAUCGGUGCGGCAAUCAGGCCGCUUCACCCUCGGUUUAAACUCGUUUCGAGGGUCAAUAAAGAGGAUCUUUCUCUCUCUCUCUCUCUCUUCCUCAUCGUUCCUUCUCUUUCACCGGGAACACCAGCGACCAGCAACCAGUCUCCGGCGACCCUUUCGUGCCCUUUGCCGGGUAAAUCGUGAAACUUGUUUCCGUUAAUGCCCUGACGACCGCGUGGAUCCACUCGAAUCGGCCUUUUACAAAUUGAACGCGACGUCCGCGAGACCAACUCGUUAUUAUGCUGAACGUUCGAGUUUCGUCACGAGCAUCCUUGUGUAAUCAAGCAUCAGCCUUUUAUUCGAGAAUACAACGAACAUUUUGAUCCUCAGUGCCUAGUAAAUCGUUAGUAAAUCGUGUUUCUGCUUCGCGACUCUAUCUAUUAUUUAACGACGGAACGUGUUCCUUUGCUCUUUUCGCUUUUCUCCACGGUCCUCUCUUUUCCAUCAGAGAACGAGAAUAGUGCAAGAACAUCGGGGCAUGUCAGAUCGCCAGCCAUUGUGAUCCGGAUCAAUACGAACGUACGGGUCGCAGCUUUAUCGAGACAGACGAGAGUCGAGCCGAGGAUGAAAAAUAACUCCUGGAAGUACUGUGCAAAAUUUAUUAGGCAUAAAUCUAUCAAGAGUCUGAUCUUUUUCGAACUAUCGAGACGGAUGAACCCUGUAUAUAACGGGUUGCUCGACUAAAAUGGAAAUGAAAAUCUGGUAGAAGCUGAAAUUAAAUUCCAACUAUCAUUGUCUGUGAAAAGCGUAGAAACACAUAGGAAGGAAAACUAGGAUAACCAGAAAAGGAUAGAUCCACGCGAUGACAACGUCGAUCUCGGGAAACACGAUUGUACAGCGUGGAAAAGAACAAUUGAUAAAGGGACAGCUAACGAAACAAUAGAAAAUUGAGAAAUAAUCGGGACACAAAAGAACAUCGAAAUAGAUAGAGAACUGAAAAAAAAAUGGAUUAAGUGAGAACAGAGAGAGGAGAGCAGCAAAGCGUACGGAGUAUAGUAUGGGCAAAAAGUGGCGGAAAGAAAGGGCACACAAAGGGAUAAAAAAAAUAUAUA